GAUGAACGCUGGCGGCGUGCCUAAUACAUGCAAGUUGAACGGGUGUAGCAAUACAUCAGUAGCGAACGGGUGAGUAAUACAUAAGCAACCUGCCUUAAAAUGGGGGACAACCGAGGGAAACUUUGGCUAAUACCGCAUAAAGGACUGAAGGCAUCUUCAGUAGAUGAAAGUAGGGUUUCCUACGAUUUAAGAUGGGCUUAUGGCGCAUUAGCUAGUUGGUGAGAUAACAGCCCACCAAGGUUAUGAUGCGUAGCCGACCUGAGAGGGUGAUCGGCCACAUUGGGACUGAGACACGGCCCAGACUCCUACGGGUGGCAG
rnacentral:rRNA from 1 species